UCUGGGCUCUGUGCAGCAGCCCCAGGUCCCUCCUGUGCUGGCCAGGCUGGGGCAGCUCUGCAGGUGGCUCUCAGCUGAGGGCAGAGGGGCACAAUCCCCUCCCCUGCUGCCCGGGCCGGGCCCAGCCCAGGGCAGGGUUGGGCUGGCGGCUCUCGGGGCCGGGCAGGGCCGGCUCUGCCCCGCGGCUCCCCCAGGGCUCUCCCGGGGCUGCUCCGGCUGCUCAGCCCCAGCCUGGAUGGACCCCGGGGGCUGCCCCGGCCCAGGUGCAGCCCCAGCGCUCGGCCUUGGCAAAGCUCAGCAGAUUCCCAGGGAAUUCCCGCUUCUGGAGCUUGUCCAGGUCCCACUGCCACCUCAGCUCCUUGUCAUCUGCAAAUAAAUUCAGACCAGUGAAGAAGUGGAUAUUAAGAGUUACAGGCAGUUCCUGUGAAUGCUGAGAAGAGAUUAGAGAACAAAUACUGAUGAGAAGCAUUUCAAUAACAACCUUUCCCAUGGAGAAAUUCUUCGUGAUGUCCAGCCUGAACUUCCCCUGGCAUAACCUGAGCCUGUUUCCUUUUGUCCUGCCUCUUGUUCCCUGGGAAGAGCCCAGAUUCCACCUGGCUGUAUCCUCUAUGACUUUUUAAAAAAUUUUUUAAGCUUCAGGAACUGCAGACUGCUCCAACGCCAAUGGAAGUUCAUGAGAAAAAACCAAUUUCCUGUUUUGAACAACUGAAGUGAGCAAAGGUGGGAUUAAGGAAUGUGGAAUUCUAAGGAGCCAGCUGAAGAUGGAAGUGAUUGAAGUAUGAGGGAUGUCUUUGUGUUCCUGCUGAAGGUGGAGGGAACCCACCAACUCACACUUUAUGUGCUUUGGCUUCUUUUUGCAGCAUGGGAGUUUUUAGGGCAAAUGUGGGGGAAACAGCUGUGUAAAAUGAGAUGGGAAUUUGUAUCUGCUGGAGCUGGAAGCUCAAAACCUGAAGCCCUGAAGUUCCCAACAGAAAGAUUUGUUCACGCUGUUCACAUCCCUGGAAGGCCAUGGAAUAGUCCUGGAACAGCAGUGGAUUUUGGGAGUGUGUCUGUGUGCUUGUGUAGACAGCUGCUGCUCAUGAUGCUUCAGCCCGUGCUCCUGCUGAGCUGGAGCAGUGGAAAUAUAUAUAUUGGGUUGUUUGAAGUGUUUAACUCACCAGAGCUGCUUCCCAAAACUGAGCACAGCUGCUGUUGAGCUGUUUGUGCACGGUGUGGUGCAGCUCCCUGAGCACAGGCACCUGGUGCUGUUUUGGAAGCACCAGUGAAACCAGGACGUCCAGAGUAGCCACAGCAGAUGCAGGGUGGGUGAAUCAUCAGCUGGAUAUUUAUGCACCAAAGUGUCUCUGCUUUAGUAAUCUGAAUUAUUUCUCAAAACUCAUUCCGAACUAACUUGGGAAUGUGCAUUAGACAGGUCUGUAAAAUAUAACUCUUUAUCAGUCACCAGGUCCUGUGGCCAGUUCUGGGCCCUUGUGGAAAGAGAGCCCUGGAGGGGCCGGAGCGUGGCCAGGG